rnacentral:tRNA from 2 species
CAAAAUAAAGCUAAACAAGUAAAGCAUUUCAUUUACGUUGAAAAGAGUUAUCGUGCAAAUCGGUUUAUUUUGA